rnacentral:rRNA from 1 species
CUCCGGCUGGAAGAAAGGACGGUCUCCCCCUCGACGGUGACGACCACGACCACGGUAAACUCCGUUGAGAGGGCAGACUCGCCAUUCCACACGGCCGGCUGGACACUCUAAAAACCAGCACAGGUGCGGUGGCUCCCCUCCGUCCGUCUCGUCGAGUUCUCCGAGGAGAGGAGAGGCGAGGCGACAUGGGCUCCAGCAGCCUCCAGCAGACCAACGCGCUCUUCAGGAAGAACCUCGUGAUCCAGAGGCGCGCCUGCAAGACCAACUGCUGCCUCAUCCUCUUCCCCCUGAUCCUCUGCGCGGGCACCGGAGGCCUGCAGAUCGCCAUCAACCGCGCGGUCAAACGAGACACCACCCCUCUCAACUGCAACUGCAGCAAUGCCGUCGUGCCGGCGAACACCACGGGAGGCCCGGCGUGCCCGGAGGGCUGCCCGCAGCCUCGCGCGCCCAAAUGGCCACCCGUGGUGCACAUCCCGCCGUCGGCCACGAGCCGGUUCGGCGGCGGCCCCCCCCGGCACAUCGUGCGGGGCGCAGGGGUCCUGCGCCGCAACGUUCCUCGUCACCGGCGCCAACCAGUCCUUCGUCGGAAGUGCAAUGGGUAACAUGAUCCCGGUUCACGACGCAUCGGUGAACGUGUCGGCCGACGACAUCUCGGCGUUAGCCGAUUUCGUGCUGGCGGGCUAUUCGGGGUAUUCAGGCAGUCCUCUAGUGGACUCCUUUCUUCAGAACAAAUGCACUCCAAACCUGACGCUUUCAUACUCAUUUGUAGACGGCAAUGAAACUGGGACCCAAGAUGUGGAUUGCACGGAGGGAUUAAUGCUCUGGCGCGACAGUUCGUGGCUCAUCAAUGAUGACCUAUAUAGUGGCUACACGAACAGGAGCAAUGAAUUUGCUGCAGCAUACGACUUCUUAAGCUCUGAUCAGGGCAACUUCAACUUGAUCAUUUCAUAUAACUCAACGUACGAGUUUGAUGCUUAUGAUGGCCUUCCAAUCCCUGUCUUCCAAUUUUUUGGAGGGAAUAAACCUAGACUGCUUGAAGUUCCACGGUUAACAAAUAUGGCUUCAAAUGCAUACCUUCGUUUAAUAGGCAAUGGUCUGAAGAUAUCAUUCGAUUUUGUUAAAGAAAUGCCUAGAGCAGGUCGAUCAUGGAGUACAUACGAUCUAACUUCAAUAAUAGGACCGCUGCCUUAUGUAUUGACUAUCCAGCUCCUUUUCCCGGUAAUUUUGACCAACAUUGUAUACGAGAAGCAAAAGAAGCUUAGGAUUAUGAUGAAGAUGCAUGGUCUUGGUGAUUUGCCAUAUUGGACUAUAUCCUAUUGCUAUUUUAUUCUUCUGUCCAUGCUAUACUUGCUGUCCUUCAUGGUAUUUGGUACUGUGUUUGGUUUUACAUUCUUUCGACUGAAUAGUUAUGGCGUACAGUUUGUGUUCUACUUUGCUUAUAUGAGCUUGCAAAUUUCAUUUGCAUUUCUUAUGGCAACAUGGUUCUCAAAUGUGAGAACAGCUGCUGUGACAGGAUAUUUCUACGUGUUUGGGUCCGGCCUUAUAGCAGAUUAUUUUUUCAAGCCCUAUAUCGAAGACAUUUUCAUCUCAAGUAUGCAUGCAAAUUUAUCUUUGUAGAAGUUCAUUAUGCAGUUGUCAUUAUGAUUCUAGGGCUUCUUUGAUGUAAGCUUUUAUUCCAUCACUCAAAUAAUUUGUGUUGCAAUUUUAUAUUUGUUCAUUUCAAGGAAGCUGGAUUAUACUUUUGGAACUUUUCCCUCCAUUUUCUUUGUACCGCAUUGUCUAUGAGUUUUCUCAAUCUGCAUUGCUCGUAAGUCAGAUUGACCGCACAGGGAUGCAGUGGAGUGACCUGAAUGAUCCCAAAAUGGAAUGGCGAGUGUUUUAACCAUAAUGAUACUCGAAUGGAUCCUAUUCCUUUUAUUAUCAUUCUAUCUGGAUCACUUUGGUUCCUUUCAAAGUGGAAUUAGAAAAGCAGUAUUACUUCUUCACUCUCGCCGGGCUGGGAACCGUUCUCAAUCUGCUCAACAGCAGACCACACAGAUUCAAGAGUUCGAAGCUUCCGUUGAAAUGGAGAGAACAGAUGUUAUCAAAGAGAGAGAGAUGGUUGGACAGCUCUUACAAGAACCAAAUAGUAGUUAUUCAGUCAUAUGUGACAACCUUAAGAAAGUGUACCCUGGAAAAGAUGGCAAUUCAAAGAAAAUUGCUGUCAGAGAGUUGUCCCUUUCAAUGGCACGUGGGCAGUGCUUUGGUGUUCUUGGUCCAAAUGGUGCUGGAAAAACCACUCUCAUCAACAUGCUCACUGGAUUUACUAAACCUACGUCUGGCACCGCGUACAUCGAAGGAAUGGACAUAAGGUUGGACAUGGACAAAAUUUAUACAGGAAUUGGUGUUUGUCCCCAGCAUGACUUGCUUUGGGAAAAUCUGACUGGCCGAGAGCAUUUGAUGUUCUACGGCAGGCUCAAGAAACUGAAGGGUGCAAAAUUAGCUCAGGCUAUCGAACAAUCUCUGAAAAGUGUGCGUUUGUUUGACGGUGGUGUUCCCGAUAAGCUUGUACAAAAAUACAGCGGUGGCAUGAAACGUCGUCUCAGCGUCGCCAUCUCUCUAAUUGGUGACCCUAAGGUUGUUUAUAUGGAUGAACCAAGUUCUGGCUUAGAUCCGGCAUCAAGGAAAGACCUAUGGAAAGCCGUCAAGUCUGCCAAACAGGACAGGGCCAUAAUUCUCACGACACAUUCAAUGGAAGAAGCUGAAGUUCUGUGCGAUCGGAUAGGAAUAAUCGCGGAUGGUACCUUGCAGUGCAUUGGAAACUCAAGAGAGCUGAAAACCAAGUACGGAGGCUCAUAUGUGCUGACGAUAACGACCAUGGCGGCUGAGGAGGCGGAGGAGGAGGUGGCAAAGCUAGUCCGGUCCAUCUCGCCGGCGGUGAGCAGGGUGUACCGCAUCUCUGGGACGCAGAGGUUUGAGAUGCCGAAGCAGGAGGUGAGUAUAUCAGCGGUGUUCCAUGUCAUGGAGGACGCGAAGAGCAGGAUGACCAUUCUUGCGUGGGGCCUAUCUGAUACGACUCUGGAGGAUGUGUUCAUCAGAGUUGCCAAGGAGAACGAGGCAUCCUCUGUCAUCUGAUUGGCAAGAUAAUCCGGCCCAGAAGAGUCACUGUUUGUAGUUCAUCACAGUUGCAGCUUCAGAGAUAUCGUUGUGUGGCAAAUUGGCAGUGCACGUAGCUUUAAGUUUUCAAAUGAGUUUGGACUUUGGACUAUGGAAGGUGUAGCUUCAGAUUAUUAGAUAUAUAUGGCAGAAGAACUCAGGGAUAAGGAAAUGCAUUAUAAACGACAAGAAAUAUAUUUAAAGUUAUGUAACGUGGAAACAAAAUCAGAAAUUUGACACAGAAAACUUAUUUGAGAAUCCUAAAAAUGUUUUGAAAAUGAAAUAGUUU